rnacentral:ribozyme from 1 species
UGCCCAGCAGCUCGUAUCCCUACCUCCUCGCGGUACCGGCCGGAAACUAUGAGAAACUUAGGGAAGAUCGGGUAACCAACCCCGUUGGGAACUUAGGUCGUAGGCUGACAGGGAAGG